UGAAUACGAGACGCUACGGCGUCGAAGCAGUCUAUGUCAUACUUCCAAGAAAAGCUUGCACUGUCAUAAACAAAUAAUGCCUGUACCAUAACCGACACAGGUGGGUAGGUAGAGUAUACUAAGGGGCGCGAGAUAACUCUCUCUAAGGAACUCGGCAAAAUGACUCCGUAACUUCGGGAGAAGGAGUGCCUUAUUUAUAAGGUUGCAAUAACAAGAUCCAAGCAACUGUUUAUCAAAAACACAGGUCUCCGCUAAGUCGUAAGACGAUGUAUGGGGGCUGACGCCUGCCCAGUGCCAGAAGGUUAAAGAAGUUGGUUAGCAUUAGCGAAGCUGAUAACUGAAGCCCUGGUGAACGGCGGCCGUAACGAUAACGGUCCUAAGGUAGCGAAAUUCCUUGUCGGGUAAGUUCCGACCCGCACGAAAGGCGUAAUGGUUUGGAUACUGUCUCGGAGAGGGGCUCGGUGAAAUAGACUUGUCUGUGAAGAUGCGGACUACCUGCACCUGGACAGAAAGACCCUAUGAAGCUUUACUGUAACCUGAAAUUGAAAUUGGACUUUAUUUGCGCAGUAUAGGUGGGAGGCGUUGAGAAUAUUCUUGCGGGAAUAUUGGAGCCAUCAGUGAGAUACCACUCUUGUAAUGUUAGAUUUCUAACUUUGAAUCAUUAUCUGGUCAAAGAACAGUUUCAGGCGGGCAGUUUGACUGGGGCGGUCGCCUCCUAAAUGGUAACGGAGGCGCACAAAGGUUUCCUCUGAACGGGUAGAAAUCGUAUCUAGAGUGUAAAGGCAUAAGGAAGCUUGACUGUGAGACCUACAAGUCGAGCAGGGACGAAAGUCGGUCUUAGUGAUCUGACGGUGCUGAGUGGAAAGGCCGUCACUCAACGGAUAAAAGUUACUCUAGGAUAACAGGCUGAUCUCCCCCAAGAGUUCACAUCGACGGGGAGGUUUGGCACCUCGAUGUCGGCUCAUCGCAUCCUGGGGCGGUAGUACGUCCCAAGGGUUGGGCUGUUCGCCCAUGAAAGCGGUACGCGAGCUGGGUUCAGAACGUCGUGAGACAGUUCGGUCCAUAUCCGGUGUAGGCGUUAGAAUAUUGAGAGGAGCCUUCUUUAGUACGAGAGGACCGAGAAGGACAUACCUCUGGUGUACCAGUUAUCGUGCCAACGGUAAACGCUGGGUAGCUAUGUAUGGAGAGGAUAACCGCUGAAAGCAUCUAAGUGGGAAGCCCACCUCAAGAUAAGUA
rnacentral:rRNA from 1 species